rnacentral:lncRNA from 1 species
AUGAUUCUUGCACUUCCAUUUGGCGAAGUCAAAUCUAUUACCUGAAGACAAUAACCCUAGUUGUGAAAGGGUGAUAUUGUCUUGAUGCAAGGAUUGUAUUCUACAGAUUAUGGAGGUUAUCAACAGAAACAUAUGUCUAUUUUUUCAUUCUCCGUUGCUCGCUCAGUUGUUGCCUGUAUCUCUCAUCCUGCAUUCCUGGUGUUAUGACGUGCCUGAUGUGGUUACGCAUGACAGUAUCUUGUAAAAUGCAAUUUUUUAAAAAGAUUUUGGGGUGACAAGCCUGAAACCAAGGGGUUUGAUUUCCCAAUAGUUUCAGUUUUAGGAGAUAGCAUUCCCUUAAAUAAAUUUAUUGCUGUUUUUUUAAGGGAACUGAAUGCAUUUCACAACAUUUAUAUUACAAUAAUCCUAUAAUGUUCUCCAAGUAAGCAAUUUAGACUUUUUGUCCAACUAUUAAAGUUUCUACAUGUAUUUAUCUUUGACAUUUUUCAGUCCAGUUGAGUACUAGGCAAUUUUGCAUUCUGCUUUUAUCUAUCUUCCCAUAAGCAAAUGAGAAGUCGCAGUGUUAUUUUGGUUUUAGACUUUUUUCAAAUACAUAACAUUAUUAGUCACCUCUUCAAAAGUAAGCAAAGAAAGAUGCACCCAAAAGAGUGGUUUAGUAAUCAAUGAAGUAACUAUACUAUUUGGAAACCGAGCUACAAAUUCUAGCAGCAACAAAAAUUAAUCAAUGAAGUAAUCUAUUUGGAAACCGAGCUGCAAAUUCUAGCAGCGACAAAGAAAUGAUUUCUUCCCAUAUGCCUUAUUCGUGAUGGAUAGAAUUAUCUGUAUUUGUGCUGGUUAAAGGUAACAUGUAUUCAGUGGAAUAGAGUCGAGGUGAGCUGACCCGGCACAAUCUGUUAGUCAUGCAUUGCAGUGGCGAGUACCCACUUUGUAUUCCACGCCAAAACUUUUGCUCGUAUUGUGGGGAAGUUCAAGUGAUUUUGGAGUUACCUCAAUGGAAUCUGAUAGAAAACCUCGGUUGGAUUCUUCUAGUAGUAGUAGUUUCAACUAUGCUUCUGCUUCCCUGCACUCAAUAGAAUCACACAAGGAUCUGCAGAAAGGCAUAGCACUUCUCAAGAAAAGUGUUGCCUGCAUUACUGCAUACUGUUAUAACACAUUAUGUUUAGAAGUUCCUGCCGAAGCCUCUACUUUCGAAACAUUUGCAAGAUGAAAGGCAUAGCACAUCUCAAGAAAAGUGUUGCCUGCAUUAUUGCAUACUGUUACAAGACAUUAUGUUUAGAAGUUCCUGCCGAAGCCUCUACUUUCGAAACAUUUGCAAGAUUGUUGGCUACACUUUCUUCUUCAAAGGAAGUUCGAUCUAUGUUUUCUUUGAACAUGUCUGGUUCA